AGUGAACGCUGGCGGUAGGCCUAACACAUGCAAGUCGAACGGCAGCACAGUAAGAGCUUGCUCUUACGGGUGGCGAGUGGCGGACGGGUGAGGAAUACAUCGGAAUCUACUUUUUCGUGGGGGAUAACGUAGGGAAACUUACGCUAAUACCGCAUACGACCUACGGGUGAAAGCAGGGGAUCUUCGGACCUUGCGCGAUUGAAUGAGCCGAUGUCGGAUUAGCUAGUUGGCGGGGUAAAGGCCCACCAAGGCGACGAUCCGUAGCUGGUCUGAGAGGAGGGGCAGCCACACUGGAACUGAGACACGGUCCAGACUCCUACGGGAGGCAGCAGUGGGGAAUAUUGGACAAUGGGCGCAAGCCUGAUCCAGCCAUACCGCGUGGGUGAAGAAGGCCUUCGGGUUGUAAAGCCCUUUUGUUGGGAAAGAAAAGCAGCAGGUUAAUACCCCGCUGUUCUGACGGUACCCAAAGAAUAAGCACCGGCUAACUUCGU
rnacentral:rRNA from 1 species